rnacentral:misc_RNA from 1 species
GACUUCCUUACAUGCAUCCGCCACCUACACAACAAAUACAGAAAGAAAUCAUGCAAUGCACAUUUAACAAAAUCUAUAAUAUAUGCUGCGCAUGAAUAAACAUUAGCCGCAUAAUUCUUUUAUUUUUAUGCCAUGGACUAUGCUACAAAAUCAAACCUACUCCAUUUAAUAUAAAACCUAAAAACACUGGUGACAGCAUAGUUAUCAAACGUGCACCACA